AAAAAAACAGGCAAGCACUAUGCGAAAUACAUGGCAGUGAAAUACAGCAAGAAAUAUUGACGAGAGAAACCCACUUCCUCAUCAAGGUUCAUGUUGGAGACGUGAACUACAUUCAUCUGUAUGUCAUUUUAAUGUCGGUUCCCAACUCAAAGGACGUUUCCAUCCCACCUCCAACACUGAAAGGUGUCCAGCAGAACAAAACCAAAGACGACCCCCUGGUACCUUUUUAAGAAACUGAUCCUACAACCUGUUUCAGCAGUGAAAUACUUACAGGCUGCUGUCUUAUAUUAAAAUGCUCUGUUUCUGUAUUAUGA